UUUAGGAUGGAGGCUGGAAUUGUAGCCCAAGUUAAACAUAUAUUGGUCCUGGUACCACAAGCCCCUUCCAGCACAGACGGAGAGAACUAGAUGACCUAGAACAGUCUCCCCAUGAGUAGCAAUAAACAUGAGAGCAGAGGAGGGUAAGCUGUUUGCUCGAGUUUACCCCAUUCCCCAGGAAUAGAGUCUGGAGCACAACCCAAGUUUCCUGACUCCCAGCCCAACCUUCACUUGAUUAAAAAUCCCUAAUUAGUAAUCAGAACAACAAAGGUGAUUCAGACUGUUCUACUGAGUGCCAAGGACUUACUGAAAUAAGGAAAAUCAGAGAGGGUUUAAUUUCAAGGACUCAAGGGUCAUUAUUUUAUAGGACAGCAACCCAUCAUAUAAAUAUCAGGAUGAAGAAAUACCACAAUCAGAGCCAGAUGACAAACACAAGCCAGAAACUGUUCCAGGGUGACUAAUGCAAUAAUAUUGAGGAAUGUCACAGGUCCCUAUUAUAGUCAAAGUCACUUUAACUAAUUGGCUCAGGCUAUAAAAACAUACAAUCUGGGUCAAAUGACACUGCUGAACGAAGCUUCUCUGCUCAGACAUUAUCUUAAAUCAAAGCUUCCCAAUAGGAAGGCAAGAGACAAAGAGAAGGUCCAGUUUUGCUGGAGAUCAUGAGAGAUUUCAAAACUGGCUUGUUUAAUAGCAGCCAGCUUAUAUAUCUAUGGGCAGUGAUGGUAACAUUCUUCCUUCCUUAGUAUUGCUUCAUACUUUGGAAGCAUAUGAUGUUUCAAGGGAUAGCAUGGGAUUUCACUGACUCUAAGUCGACAUCCAUUUUAAGAUGCUCCAUCCUUUUGUGAGGCACUAAAACACGAUGCCAGUUAUAGAAUCAUGAGCUAGCACUGAUUAUAAGAGGCACCCCAAAGUCAGAGAUGUUAAAAUGUGGGGGAAAAACAAUCAAUGACAAGGUAUUUUUCCUGACUCAGGAUUAAAUUUGAUAAUUCUCUCGCUUGUUUUUUAAAAAGGGAAAUAAAUCAAAGCAUAUGUCGUUGGUACUGUUGACUCCUUACCCAAAUUCUUCCUGUUUUUUUUUCCCUUAAAAAUAUCCUAUCUCCCUGACCCAGGCAUUUUCUCCCCCAUGUACCCAUCUCCCUCUGCCCAUCUGCUUUAUUCAGGGAAAGUAAGCUCAGCCCCAGGCAUGAAUUAUGAUUGGUUAAAGUCAGUGUGACUCGUUGCCUGCAACUGGUUUCAGAAUUUAUUCAUUCAACAAAUAUUUAAUGAGUUUCUACUGGUUCCAGUCACUAUUCUAGGUUCUGAAGUUAUUGUAGUGGGGAAAAAAAAGAAAAAAAACCCUCCCCAGUAAAGCUUACAUUCCAUUAGGUGGUUAAAAAAAAAGACAAGAUGAAUAAUAAACUAGAUAGUAUUCCAGAUUGUAGGAAAUAUGGAGAGAGAUAAGACAGGGGAUGAACACAGGGAAUGUAGAGAAAGAAGGUUGUAAUUUUAAAUAGUGUGGCCAGGAAAGGUCUCACUGGGAAGGUGGUAUCUGAUUACACACCUGAAUGAAGGACGGCAGUGACCAUUUGGCUAUGUGGCAGAAGAGCGUUCUAGGAAGAAUAAACAGCCUGUACAAAAGUCCAGGGUGGGACCGUGCACCGUGUGUUUAUGGAAUAGCAAGGAGGCUGUGUAGUGACAGCGGAGUUUGGGAAGGAGAGUGAGGGAUAAAGGCAGAGAGAUGGAGAUGGGUGGUGUGGGCAUGUUAGGGGUACAGCCUUGAACUUGGGAUUUCACUCUGAGUAUGAUGGCAAAAGCCACAUGGGAGUUUUUAGUAGAGUUGAGGCAUGAUCACGCUCUUGUGCUGAGAUUGCAGGGAAAGGAUGAAGGCGAGAGCACCACUGAGGAGGCUGUGGUCACAGUCCAGGAGGAGGUGGUGGUGGAGAAGAUGGUCAGAUCGGUCUGAUUCAGGACCUACUGAAGGGACAACUGACCAGCUGUGCUGACAGACUGAAUAUGCGAUGGUAGAGAAAGAAGUGUCAAGAAUGCCUCCGAGGAUGACCGUAUUGGUAGAGAUGCACUUCCACCAUGAGAAGUUAGGGGAUGUCUGCCCAGUCUGGCUCUUGGGGGCAGUUUGGUAUCAACUUGAAAAGAGACUGAACAAUCGCAAAGACUCCUUCUCUGCACCUGGACAUUGCUGUGAGGAUGUGGCUGCUGCUACAAAUGUGAUGCUGGUGCUGCUACCAUUAGAGUAAGGCUUUGAUUGAACUUCUCAGUUGCAGCCAAGAAAGUCUGGAGAAGGGGACACCUGAUGGAAGGUCACCUCAUCAUCCAAGGAAAUUGUGCAGUUAUGGGAGUGAAAACCGUUGAAGAUGGAGACAAUAAGCUGUCUACCUUGAAUAAAGGUGCUGUUGUCCUCAGAGGGACACAGUAUUGGAUCCCUGCUGAGAAGUCAUGCUUAGCCGUCAUCUGACGACCUGCACUUGGGUGUACGCAUGGACAGAACUGAGUCAUGUGACAGGACAGAUCACUGAUUACCUUUCUUUCUAAACUGUCCAUUUGACUUCUUUUCUCAGGUGCGCUCUGAUCUAGAAAUGGUUAAGAAUAUUUUAACUGGAACCAAAAUUGCCAAGGUUCUUGGAUUUCACAAAGUAAAAGCUAAACAGUGAUGAGGGCAUUGGUUUCAUCAGGGAAUAAAAAAAAAACAAAACUUUUAUUUGUGCAGGACGG